CUAGGGCCUGGGGGUUCACAUCCUCUAGGGCCUGGGGGUUCACUGUGAGGAUUCUGACUUUACUCUAAGUUGAAUGGGAGGUCCUUGUGAUGGUAUCUAAGUCACUGUGAUGCCAGCACAUCCUUGGGUGCUAAAAGGAUCAGCCCAGCUGCUAUAGAGAGACUGGGAGUGGAAGGGCCUAGAGCCCAAGCGGGACCACUGUGAGGAAACGAAUGUCAUAAUCCGGAGGGGCAGGAUGGAGUUCCGACCAUGGGUACAGCAGCAGGGUGGCCACGACAACUGAAUCCCGGACAUAUUCUGAAGGAACGUUUGCUACGCUAGGACUGCAUCUUGGGAACAGAAUUUUAGAGAUGAUCAUCUCUUACGUCAGAAGCAGGAUCUAAAUGAUCCCUGGAUGCCCAGUUUCCUGACUCUGCUACUGUCAUGGGUGGCAAGAUAAGAGGAGUUGCAUCACAGAUGAAAAAGUAAGGCCGAAGAAGACCAGAGAACAGUUGGUUGAAUGUGUAGAUAUAAGACCCAUUUGUCACAUUGUAGAAUGAAAUUUCACCAGCUUCAUAGUCCAAGAAAAUCCCAAUGCAGCGAGGACUUUCCAGUUGGAGAAGAGGCACCGACGGGGAGGCAAGGACCAUGUACUCAUUCCCUUUCAGCAGCCACAGGGCCCAGACCCCAUUCUCAGGAGAUGGCGUGGUUUCCCCCUUUCUUGGCAGUGUGUCUUGACAGACCCCUAAACCCCACUCUGCUCUUUCUCCCACCAGAACCUCCCAGUAAUGCCUCCCUGAUGAGAAGCUCUGCAAACCCAGGAUGCAGGGCCACGUGUCAAAUCGCUCAGGGUUGUUGGGGACAUCCCUCCAUGGCUCUCCAUCCUGCACACUGCGCAGGUCGGCGGUCAAGAGCAGACUCGGGUGCGCCGUGGCGGGAUCCAGCUUUACAUCCACUGCAGAAAGAAUGUGGUGGAACUGGUGAAAGGAAAGAAAGGACUGGGAGAAACUUAGGAAACCGCUGAAAGAACAGUCCCACAGUUCUUGACUUUUCUCUCUCUAAUAACUCCUAGAGAAACCAAAUCAGUAUUUCACCUUA